rnacentral:rRNA from 1 species
AUUGAACGCUGGCGGCAGGCCUAACACAUGCAAGUCGAGCGGAGGAAGGGAGCUUGCUCCUGGAUUCAGCGGCGGACGGGUGAGUAAUGCCUAGGAAUCUGCCUGGUAGUGGGGGAUAACGUCCGGAAACGGGCGCUAAUACCGCAUACGUCCUGAGGGAGAAAGUGGGGGAUCUUCGGACCUCACGCUAUCAGAUGAGCCUAGGUCGGAUUAGCUAGUUGGUGGGGUAAAGGCCUACCAAGGCGACGGUCCGUAACUGGUCUGAGAGGAUGAUCAGUCACACUGGAACUGAGACACGGUCCCGACUCCUACGGGAGGCAGCAGUGGGGAAUAUUGGACAAUGGGCGAAAGCCUGAUCCAGCCAUGCCGCGUGUGUGAAGAAGGUCUUCGGAUUGUAAAGCACUUUAAGUUGGGAGGAAGGGCAGUAAGUUAAUACCUUGCUGUUUUGACGUUACCAACAGAAUAAGCACCGGCUAACUUCGUG